rnacentral:rRNA from 1 species
UACGGAGGGUGCAAGCGUUGAUCGGAAUCAUUGGGCGUAAAGCGCACGUAGGCGGGCAGCCAAGUCGGAUGUGAAAGCCCUCGGCUCAACCGAGGAGGUGCAUCUGAAACUGCUGGACUUGAGUGCUGAAGAGGAAAGUGGAAUUCCCAGUGUAGAGGUGAAAUUCGUAGAGAUCGGGAGGAACACCAGUGGCGAAGGCGGCGUUCUGGACUGAUACUGACGCUGAGGUGCGAAAGCGUGGGGAGCAAACAGG